UAACACAUUAUCAGAAAGCAGGUAUCUAUC
rnacentral:piRNA from 1 species